rnacentral:rRNA from 1 species
AGAGUUUGAUCCUGGCUCAGAUUGAACGCUGGCGGCAUGCUUUACACAUGCAAGUCGAACGGCAGCGGGGGCUUCGGUCCGCCGGCGAGUGGCGAACGGGUGAGUAAUGCAUCGGAACGUACCCAGUCGUGGGGGAUAACGCAGCGAAAGCUGUGCUAAUACCGCAUACGUCCUGAGGGAGAAAGCGGGGGACCUUCGGGCCUCGCGCGAUUGGAGCGGCCGAUGUCGGAUUAGCUAGUUGGUGGGGUAAAGGCUCACCAAGGCGACGAUCCGUAGCUGGUCUGAGAGGAUGAUCAGCCACACUGGGACUGAGACACGGCCCAGACUCCUACGGGAGGCAGCAGUGGGGAAUUUUGGACAAUGGGGGCAACCCUGAUCCAGCCAUGCCGCGUGAGUGAAGAAGGCCUUCGGGUUGUAAAGCUCUUUCAGUCGGGAAGAAACGGAGCGCUCUAACAUAGCGCUCUACUGACGGUACCGACAGAAGAAGCACCGGCUAACUACGUGCCAGCAGCCGC